rfam:Vibrio harveyi ATCC BAA-1116 chromosome II, complete sequence.
AGACCCUUAUUAAGCCGAGGGUCACCUAGCCAACUGACGUUGUUAGUGAAUACACAUUGUUCACAAGUAUAUACCGCCAAUCAACUUUAUUGUGAUUGGCGUUUUUUCU